rnacentral:rRNA from 1 species
GAUGAACGCUAGCGGCAGGCUUAACACAUGCAAGUCGAGGGGCAGCACGUCUUCGGAUGGUGGCGACCGGCGCACGGGUGCGUAACGCGUAUACAAUCUACCUUUUACAGAGAGAUACCCCAGAGAAAUUUGGAAUAAUACCUCAUAAUAUUAUUGCUCGGCAUCGAGUGACAAUUAAAGUUUCGGCGGUAAAAGAUGAGUAUGCGUCCUAUUAGCUAGUUGGUAAGGUAACGGCUUACCAAGGCGACGAUAGGUAGGGGUCCUGAGAGGGAGAUCCCCCACACUGGUACUGAGACACGGACCAGACUCCUACGGGAGGCAGCAGUGAGGAAUAUUGGUCAAUGGGCGAAAGCCUGAACCAGCCAUGCCGCGUGCAGGAAGACUGCCCUAUGGGUUGUAAACUGCUUUUAUACAGGAAGAAACACUCGGACGUGUCCGAGCUUGGCGGUACUGUAUGAAUAAGCACCGGCUAACUCCGUGC